GAGGAAGAAGAAGAACAUGUGGAAGGUACUGCAUCCAUGUCAGAGUCGAGCCCUGAGGAGAGGUUGAAAGAACUUGAAAAGAUCGUGGCAGAUACAAAGCAAGAUCUUGAGCAUAAAAAUCGAGAGCUUGAGCAACUGAGAUCUUCUUUAACUGCAUUAGCUCCACAGGAAGGAAUUGAUUCACUUCCAAAAAGUUUGCCAGCACAAACAGAUGGUCAAGGGACUGGUCAACCACCAUCAAAUAAUGAGAUCAGUUUAAGCAUGGAAUAAGAGUACUAGCUUUUGUCAUGUUGUGUCCAUAAUUAUUUAAGUGAAUUAACUUAUAUAAGUUCCUACUGAUAAAAAUACUGUUGGGCGUCAUUUUGCAUGCAUGUAUUGAAAAAAUUGCAUUGAAAAAAUUGUAUUGAAAAAAUUACAUAAUCUGAAUAGCUUGCUAAAUACCAUGUAUUAUUCUGUAAUUAGACGAGGUGUCGCAAUCUUUCUUUAUAGUAAGUAGGAGGGCACGACACCAAAAGUGUUCUUAUGAUAUUAAUUAUACUAAAAUAUUCGUUAUUAUUUAUGAUCCUCGGAUUGUUAACGAGUCUA